GAUGUUGCUGACGAACUUCUUGUCGUCCACCACCACGCUGAGCUGGCACGCGCGGGGGGCGAAGACGUGCAGGGGUUCGGGGAACAUGGGCAACUUCUCGCCGGGAGCCGCCGCCAGGACGAUGGCUCUGCGCCGCGUCUGCGCCACGCCGUACUGCCCGGCCUGCGCACACAGCGGGCGGCGCUGAGGGCGUCCACCGGGGAGCAACCGGGGGGCAAGCGGGGGGCAAGCGGGGGGCAACUGGGGGGCUGCGGGCCUUCGUGGCCACCGGGGAAUGCGGUUGGCUCAUGGUCAACUCUUGGUCAACCAUUGGUCAACGGUCGGUCAACUACUGGUCAACUCUUUGUCAGCCACUGAUCAACUACCAGUCAACUACUGGUCAACUCUUGGUCAACCGUUGGCCAACCAGGACGCUGCUGGCCUUUGUGGCCACCGGGGAGUGCUGUUGGCUCAUGGUCAACCACUGGUCAACCACCGGUCAACUACCGGUCAACUCCUGGUCAACUGUCAGUCAACUCCUGGUCAACUCUCGGUCAACUGUCAGUCAACCACUGGUCAACUACUGGUCAUCUACUCGUCAACUCUUGGUCAACCACUGGUCAACUCUUGGUCAACCGUUGGCCAACCAGGACACUGCAGGCCUUCGUGGCCACCACGGAAUGCGGUUGGCUCAUGGUCAACUCUUGGUCAACUGUUGGUCAACGGUCGGUCAACUACUGGUCAACCCUUGGUCAACCGCUGGUCAACUGUCAGUCAACUAGUGGUCAACUCUUGGUCAACUGCUGGUCAACUACCAGUCAACUCUUGGUCAACCGUUGGUCAAACAUUGGUCAACUCUUGGUCAAGCACUGGUCAACCACCAGUCAACUACUGGUCAACUCUUGGUCAACCGCUGGUCAACUACUGGUCAACUCUUGGUCAACUGGCGGUCAACCACCAGGCAACUACUGGUCAACUCUUGGUCAACCGUUGGUGAAGCGUUGGUUAACUACCAGUCAACUGCCGGUCAACUCUUGGUCAACUGUUGGUCAAACAUUGGUCAACUCUUGGUCAACCACUGGUCAACUACCAGUCAACUACUGGUCAACCACUGGUCAACCA
rnacentral:lncRNA from 1 species